UCAACUGUUCUGUGACAAAUGAUGAUUG
rnacentral:sRNA from 1 species